UCCCAGUUGGACCCUGACGGAUGCACCCACAUACCCUGUUCACUAAGCUAUUCAGUAAAACGAAAGGGAGGAGAGAGAAGGCUCAACACCCUCUUCGGCGGUUUCAGUAGCAGGAGAAAAGGACUUGGUCAGCUGCCCUGGUGGGAAAGGUGAAGUCAUCUCCCGAGACCCCUGGGGGUCCUGAGAACCCUCGACAGGAAGUGAUGGUGGGAACCCAGAGCCUGCAGUGAUGGAAAACACACCAGAGUUCUCGAGAUUCACAAGUUUAUUUCCUAGCUGUAUUGACAAAAAAAAAAGUCACAGCAUUUCAGACUAUUUAAACACACAAACAGGAACAGAGGGUACCUACCAGUGACAGCCUCGUCCCGAAGGUCCGGAUCAAAGGCCACACUGGAGGGUGCAGGUGUCCUCUUGGGCCUCCUCCUUAGCAUCCUGUGGCUCCCCGCCCCCGGCCUCGCUGACACCCCCAGAGCAUUACAACUGUGCAGAAAGGAAGCCACUUUAGAGGCCGGGCCCCACCUCAUUGUCAUGGAAAAAGGCCAGAUUCUGAGGAAAAGACAGAAUCAGUGCUACUGUGUCAUUGCUUGAGGGAUGCUAGGCGCUCCUGGACCUAGCUGGCAUCACCUGCGUCCCAGACUGAGGGCAGAGAAAAAGGCAGGCCCCUCCCCACUUGGCAAUACUGGGCAGCACAGAGUGUGGGUCACCGGUCACGUGACAGCCCCAAACUGCCACGCAGACCUCUCUGACGUGAUUAGCCAGACACUCUGAGAGCACAAGGCUUUCAGGCAAGAAUACCAGCCUGGUUCCUAAAGGGUGUGGGUGAACAACGCUCCCAGAAAUCUGAA